rnacentral:rRNA from 1 species
AUGGCAUUCUAUUCAGAUCAUCAGGCUUAUGCGAGCAACACUACAAACAGCGCGGAAAGUAUUCAAGAACUGAUAAGUAAGAUUUCCCAUCAAUUAGAUGAUUUAGCUCGGCAGCGAGAAGUAGUUUUUGAGGAUAGGCCUAGUUCUUACGAUCCUUAUUCCGGAGGCCAUCCUUAUGUUGCUCCUACUUGCCAUAUUUGUGGAUUUCAGGGCCAUUUGCCCGCUGAAUGUCAGCGUGGCUACUCUCGCCCUCCAGAUUGUUUUGGCAUGAGCUUCGCUCAAGAGCAUAGCUCAUACCAAAACAAUUACUCAUAUGGGUGCCCUGGAAACCAUAAUAUGUCAUAUAGGAGCAACAACCCUGAGAUCUCAUCGUUUGCUUCUAGUAAUCAUAUGCAGGGAUUUAGGUAUGAAGAGGAGACCCACAACCAUGCACCACAACAAUUUUAUUCAUCUCCUACUCAUAUACCUCAAUACCAGGAGAUGUGUCCAAUGGAGUUAAAUGGUCCUCCAUUUGGUCAACCAACAACUCCAGCACCUUUUGUGCAAUCUCAUGUGCAACUGCCCGCACAAGAUGAGUUCGAUGACAUAGACAAGCUCACACUUUUGAGUCUUGAGUUCACUUGGAGUGCCGAGGAUGAUCCUAUUAGGAAGGUUAUACUAGAUGAACUGAAGAAGAUCAAGAGUGGAAAAGAGCUAGUGGAAGAAGUAAGGAAGAUUGAGAAGAACAUCAACGCUGGUAGCACUAUUUCUUCACAGCUAGAGCUGAGUGUUGCCGAGAUUCCCCUUGAUACAUGUGAGGUUCCAACACCGUCACAUCCGGUUAAGCAAGAUAGCAAGUGUCCAGAGGAAGAAAGACCUCAAAUUGAAGAAGAUGAACUAGAAGACAAGGAACAAGAUGAUCAAGAGCUGCAAUUCCCAAGUGAUCAAGUUGAAGACUCAUCAUCUACUACUCCUGAAGAAGUACAAGAAGCUGCUCUAGAUGAAGAUGAAGAACAUGAGAUUCAUUUGCCUAUUGUCAUACCAGAUUAA